CCUACGGGGGGCUGCAGUGGGGAAUAUUGGACAAUGGGGGAAACCCUGAUCCAGCCAUGCCGCGUGUGUGAAGAAGGUCUUAGGAUUGUAAAGCACUUUAAGUUGGGAGGAAGGGUUGUAGAUUAAUACUCUGCAAUUUUGACGUUACCGACAGAAUAAGCACCGGCUAACUUCGUGCCAGCAGCCGCGGUAAUACGAAGGGUGCAAGCGUUAAUCGGAAUUACUGGGCGUAAAGCGCGCGUAGGUGGUUCGUUAAGUUAGGAGUGAAAGCCCCGGGCUCAACCUGGGAAUUGCUUCUAAAACUGGCGAGCUAGAGUAUGGUAGAGGGUGGUGGAAUUUCCUGUGUAGCGGUGAAAUGCGUAGAUAUAGGAAGGAACAUCAGUGGCGAAGGCGACCACCUGGACUGAUACUGACACUGAGGUGCGAAAGCGUGGGGAGCAAACAGGAUUAGAUACCCGAGUAGUC
rnacentral:rRNA from 1 species